rnacentral:tRNA from 1 species
GCUCGGAUGGUGGAAUGGUAGACACUGGGGACUUAAAAUCCCCUGGCAGAAAUGCCGUGAGAGUUCGACUCUCUCUUCGAGCA